UUCCGGUUGAUCCUGCCGGACCUGACUGCUAUCGGAUUGAUACUAAGCCAUGCGAGUCUUUGCAGUAACACAAGGCGGACUGCUCUGUAACACGUAGUCAACUUAACCUAUGGAUGGGUAUAACCUCGGGAAACUGAGAAUAAUUCCCAAUAGAUCAUUUAUCCUGGAAUGGUUGAUGAUUGAAAUGAUUCGUCGCCAUAGGAUGGGACUGCGGCCUAUCAGCUUGUUGGUGAGGUAAAGGCCCACCAAGGCUAUUACGGGUACGGGCUCUGAGAGGAGAAGCCCGGAGAUGGGUUCUGAGACACGGACCCAGGCCCUAUGGGGCGCAGCAGGCGAGAAAACUUUGCAAUGUGCGAAAGCACGACAAGGUUAAUCCGAGUGAUUUCUGCUAAAGAAAUCUUCUGCCAGUUCUAAAAAUACUGGUGAAUAAGGGGUGGGCAAGUCCUGGUGUCAGCCGCCGCGGUAAAACCAGCACCUCAAGUUGUCAGGAGGGUUAUUGGGCCUAAAGCAUCCGUAGCCGGCUCUGUGAGUUCUCGGUUAAAUCCAUUUGCUCAACAUAUGGGCUGUCGGAAAUACUGCAGAGCUAGGGAAUGGGAGAGGUAGACGGUACUCGGUAGGAAGGGGUAAAAUCCUUUGAUCUAUCGAUGACCACCUGUGGCGAAGGCGGUCUACCAGAACAUGUUCGACGGUGAGGGAUGAAAGCUGGGGGAGCAAACCGGAUUGGAUACCCGGGUAGUCCCAGCUGUAAACGAUGCAGACUAGAUGAUGCAUUAGCAUAUAGCUAGUGCAGUGUCUCAGGGAAGCCGUUAAGUCUGCCGCCUGGGAAGUACGUACGCAAGUAUGAAACUUAAAGGAAUUGGCGGGG
rnacentral:rRNA from 1 species